rnacentral:rRNA from 1 species
GGACUACCCGGGUUUCUAAUCCUGUUUGAUCCCCACGCUUUCGUGCCUCAGCGUCAAUCGCUGCUUAGCCAGCUGCCUUCGCAAUCGGUGUUCUAUGUCAUAUCUAUGCAUUUCACCGCUACAUGACAUAUUCCGCUGGCCUCAACAGUAUUCAAGACUUAUAGUAUCAAUGGCAGUUUCCAGGUUGAGCCCGGAGAUUUCACCACUGACUUACAAGCCCGCCUACACACCCUUUAAACCCAGUGAAUCCGGAUAACGCUUGCACCCUCCGUAUUACCGCGGCUGCUGGCAC